UAUAUAUAGUUGGACUGGGCUACUAUUAGCAGCAAAAUUCCAUUGUUGCUACCAGUUUUUUAGCCUUUGGAUCAACUCUUUUCAUUAUUUCUAACCAUUGGAUUAAAUACUAUAACCCAGUGGGGACCACUCAACCCUAGGGUGACCACUCGACUCUAACCGACUAAUAUCAUCCUGACCCUACAAUUUUUCAUCCAAGAGUUAAAAACUUGAUAGCAAAAAGAGCGUUUUACUAUUAAUAGUAUUCCAGCCUAAUUCUAUAUAUAUAUAUAUAUAUAUAUAUAUACCAAGUUGUUUAUAAGGAUGUGGCUUCCAAAUCGACGGCUCCGUUAAACUUGAUCUAUACUAUUGAAAGUAUUUGGAAACUAAAUUUCAUAAUUUUUCGACAUUAUUUACCUAUCGGCUCCGUGCUACCGAUAGCAUACCAGCCUAGCUCUCUCUCUCUCUCUCUCUCUCUCUCUCUCUCUCUCUCUCUCUCUCUCUCUCUCUCUAUAUAUAUAUAUAUAUAUAAAACUAGGCUGGAAUACUAUUAAUAGCACCAAGUUAUUGGUGCUAUUAGAUUUUUAGCUUUUGGAUUGAGAAAUGUGCAGUUAGGAUGAUAUGGGCAUCCUAGGAUUGAGUGGAUGGUUGGUUGAAUAGUAUAAUCUAACGAAUAAAAAUAAACAAGGGGUUAAAUCUAACGGUGGAAAACUCGAUAGCACGAAAACCUUAGUGCUAUCGAUAGUAUCCCAGCCGGACUCUAUAUAUAUAUAUUCUCCUUUUGUUUUAAGAGUCGAGCUACUAUAUUAUCGGAAAUAUAGAGGAUCUGAUAUUUUCGACUUUUUUGCCCUUAAAUUAAUUUCUUUGAUCAUUUCUAAUAUUUGAAUUAAUAUUAUUAUUCCGUGAAGACCACUCAACGCUAAAAAUGCUAUUCAAUUUUAGAAAAAAUCGCAAUAAUCAAACCGUACAAUUUUUGAUACAAGGAUCAAAAAAUUAAAAACAUCAAAUUUUCUGUACCUCCCGGAACAUA
rnacentral:lncRNA from 1 species